UUAAUUGAGAGAUAGAGUUUAAAAAAAAGGGGAAAAAUCCAAAUGGAUCGAAUACUUGGAGUUGGAGUCAGAUUACUUUUAAAAUGCUAACUCUAGCAAUUUGUUUCUAAUUGCACAAUUUCCAAGAAAAAGGGGAAUGUAUAUAUAUUACUCAAAUAGGAGAAGAUUUACUUCAUUUCUCCUACUCCAAACCCUUCGAUCCCCACCAUUACUGAACCACCAUUUUACUUCCCUCAAGAUCAAUUUUGAAGAGAGAUUUCAAGCAAUAAUUACAAUACUUUGAAAGAAAAGGUGAAUUUCUUGAUUUUCUACCCCUCUCUAACUUUAGCUUGGAGAAAUUUCUAGUUUAAACUUUAGGGUUUUCGAAAAAUUUGGGGAUUUCAUAUUAGAAUUGAGGUAUGAUUUUAAUAUUGAGAUAUAGUACGUCUUUGAUGUUCCUAAGCAUGAUUAUGCUGGUUAAUUGUAUUAAUUUUUACUUGAUUUCGAGUUUACUCAAGUUAGUAUGAACCCUAGGUUUGAGGUUGAGAGUUAUGAUUAUGUUCUUGAAUAAUUGGACUCAUAUAUGUGUUCUUGAGUUGGAAUUAUGUCAUAAAUGAGUAAAUUAUGAGUUUAUACCACAUAGUUUGUGAGAUUGAGUUUGUUAGUUUAAGUGGAUUUGGGAAUUCUUGAUGUAAGAUAGCUACAUGUUUGAUGCUUGUGUAAUUGUACUCUCUGAGUUGUAAAAUGAGAUUAUAUGAUAAUAAUUGGAGGAUAUUAAGCAUGCUACUAUAUGUUGAUGUGUUGAACAUGAAUUAAGCUAAGCUAAAGCAUGCUAAUGUGUGUUAAGAUGAUGUAUUUGAGUUCCUAUAGCUGUUAUUUGAGAGAAAUAUGAGUGAUAUGUCAAUGAGCUUUGCUGUCAGUUUUCGGCUUGACAGGGCAGUAUGUUUCGAGGUGCUUUUGAUGAUGUUCCCGUAGUCCAAAUCUUUUGAAAUUUUUACUGUAAUAACUUUAUCAUGAGUAGUACGUUUCUGCAAAAUUUCAGCUAAAUCCGAGACCAUUAGAUGUGUCAAACGAGUUUCUGAAAUGUACUGCGCGAAGCAGCAAAGUUCAGUGGCAGAUUUUGCCUUUUGUGAUAUAACUUUUCAUACACUUGAUGUAUUGUAUUUUUGUAACUUUCUAAUAAAAAUAGACUUUGAGUGAUUUCUAAAAAGGUAAAGCUUGUAUUUUUCUUUGAAGAGGUUGAUUUUAUAUGAUUUUUCAAAGUUGAGAUUCAUAUAUGAUUACAUAUUUGAAGUUACUUACUUGGGAUAGUUGAGUAGAACUAUGCUUAAGUCAUUGGUCAAUUCUUGAAUUGAUGUUUUAGUUAUUAAUUGUAAGCUAAUCUAUAUGGAAUGGAUUAGUUGCUCUUAAACUUUUUCAACUGUUUGCUUUUAGUUAGUUAAGUCCAUAAAAGUAGAAUACAUACAUCUUUCAAGCGAUAGAUGUUCCAUUCAAGAUUUAUUUCCUAUUUACUUACUUAUUAUCCAAUCUUACCUGGGAACCUCAUUAUAAUGAAGGUUCGAGUGGCAGUGUAGAAUGAACAAGCAAAGACUUCUAUUUCAUUAAGCGUAUCAGGUGGGCUUACUAACUCAAGAAGUAAAGAUGCAUACUUUAUUAUAUAAAGUUUGAGUGUAUGCAUUUAUUUUCCAAUUAUUGACUUGCCAAUAUUUGAGAUUUGUAUGAUACCAUCUACAUAGAAGAACGAAUUCGGGUCCUGAGCGAGUCAGGAUUUGUGUACACAGAGAUAACAGUUAACCUUUGAGUUAGCUUGUCAUCGUGUUUGAGAAGGAGGCCUACUUCUCAACACUUAAAGUUAUAUGAUGCGUAGAUAUGGUACAUACAUGUUAAUUGUCUGCACACGUAUAUGAUGUGAUGAUGAUUAUAGAGAAGUUUUACAGUUUCGCAUACACAGGUUAUUUAAAUAAAACUCCUGUGUGAUGUUUGAGAUGGCAAGUUCAAUAUAUAGCUCUAAGAGCAAGCUUUAAAGUUAUUUCGGCAUGACCACUGAGUUGCUUUUUGGUACUCAGCCCUGCGUAUGUUUCUAAAUAUGCAGGUUAAGUUGUGGUGCAGAUGGAAGCGAGCAGAGCAAAUUCUUUGAUGUAUAUGUAUUAAACCAGGCUCAGGAUUCCAUGUCUUCAUACAUGUAAUCCACAUGAAUUAUUCCGCUGCAACACUUAGUCUAUUAUACUUUAUUGAUGUGUUGUACAAAUUUUAAAUCAAUCGCUGGAAAAUUAUGUCACUUGAAAGUUAGAGAACUUGUUGUGUAUUGUAAGUUGUCUACUCAUAAGUUUUAAAAGUGUUGCCUACGAUUAUUCAAUAUUAUAGUGAUUUAUUGUUAAACUUGGUUCAUUAUUAUUAGUGAAAUCUCUUUCCUUUUUC
rnacentral:lncRNA from 1 species